CCUACGGGAGGCAGCAGUGGGGAAUUUUGGACAAUGGGGGCAACCCUGAUCCAGCCAUGCCGCGUGCGGGAAGAAGGCCUUCGGGUUGUAAACCGCUUUUGUCAGGGAAGAAAUCUUCCGAGCUAAUACCUUGGGAGGAUGACGGUACCUGAAGAAUAAGCACCGGCUAACUACGUGCCCGCAGCCGCGGUAAUACGUAGGGUGCAAGCGUUACGCGGAGUUAGCGCAGGCGGUUCGUCAGGAGGCGGGUGAAAUCCCCGGGCUUAACCUGGGAACUGCACUUGUGACUGUACGGCUGGAGUACGGCAGAGGGGGAUGGAAUUCCGCGUGUAGCAGUGAAAUGCGUAGAUAUGCGGAGGAACACCGAUGGCGAAGGCAGUCCCCUGGGCCUGUACUGACGCUCAUGCACGAAAGCGUGGGGAGCAAACAGGAUUAGAUACCCCAGUAGUC
rnacentral:rRNA from 1 species